rnacentral:rRNA from 1 species
CUCGUAGGCGGUUCAGCAAGUCGUUUGUGAAAUUCCGAGGCUCAACCUCGGAACUGCAGUCGAAACUGCUGUGACUCGAGUCCGGUAGAGGAGAAUGGAAUUCCCGGUGUAGCGGUGAAAUGCGCAGAUAUCGGGAGGAACACCAGUAGCGAAGGCGGUUCUCUGGGCCGGUACUGACGCUGAGGAGCGAAAGCGUGGGGAGCAAACA